AGUGAACGUUGGCGGCGUGGAUUAGGCAUGCAAAUCGAGCGAGAACCGUAGCAAUACGGGGACAGCGGCGAAAGGGACAGUAAUGUGUAGGUACCUACCUCCGGGUUCGGGAUAGCUGCGGGAAACUGCAGGUAAUACCGAAUAACGUCUCCGGACCAAAGGUGUGAUUCCACGUGGAGAGGGGCCUGCAGCCUAUUAGCUUGUUGGCGGGGUAACGGCACACCAAGGCGACGAUGGGUAGCGGGUGUGAGAGCACGACCCGCGUCAUAGGGACUGAGACACUGCCCAGACGACUACGGGUGGCUGCAGUCGUGAAUCUUCGGCAAUGGGCGCAAGCCUGACCGAGCGACGCCGCGUGCGGGAUGAAGGCCUUCGGGUUGUAAACCGCUGUCGUAGAGGAGGAAAUGCAGGGGGGUUCUCCCCUCUGUUUGACCUAUUCUAGGAGGAAGUACGGGCUAAGUUCGUGCCAGCCGCCGCCGUAA
rnacentral:rRNA from 1 species